GUUAACUAACAUAUUGACAGUCAAUUUGAAACAAUACAGAGAAGAUUAGCAUGGCCCCUGCACUAAGGAUGACACAUGCAAAGUGAGUAAAUUCUAAUCAAAUUGUU
rnacentral:snRNA from 1 species